UGGGGAAUAUUGCACAAUGGACGGAAGUCUGAUGCAGCAACGCCGCGUGCGGGAUGACGGCCUUCGGGUUGUAAACCGCUUUUUUUCAUGACGAAGUUUUUUGACGGUAGUGGGGGAAGAAGCACCGGCUAACUACGUGCCAGCAGCCGCGGUGAUACGUAGGGUGCGAGCGUUGUCCGGAAUUAUUGGGCGUAAAGAGCUUGUAGGCGGUUUGUCGCGUCGAUAGUGCAAACUCAGUGCUUAACGCUGAGCCUGCUGUUGAUACGGGCAGACUAGAGGAAGGUAGGGGAGAAUGGAAUUCCCGGUGGAGCGGUGGAAUGCGCAGAUAUCGGGAGGAACACCGGUGGCGAAGGCGGUUCUCUGGGCCUUUCCUGACGCUGAGAAGCGAAAGCGUGGGGAGCGAACAGG
rnacentral:rRNA from 1 species